GGGGAUUUAGCUCAGCGGCAUAAGCGCCUGCCUUGCAAGCAGGCAGUCGUGAGUUGAAUCCCUG
rfam:Cavia porcellus supercont2_82 genomic scaffold, whole genome shotgun sequence.